CCACGGUCAACUCUCACCAGCGUGUCUGGGUGAACUGCUGAGUGAAAAUGUUCCAAAUUUGGAGGCCCAGGGAGGGGAGGACAGUGCGUGUUGCAGUGACAUCCUGGGUUACAUUCUGGCACCACACCGCUUAACAGUGUCCCCGUGUCUUGGAAAAUUGGGUUGAGCUAUGUGAGGGAGGAUAAGAGCGACAGGAUGGAAGAAGUCUUACAGCACUGGAAUCCCACCAACUUGUCUGGGCAGCUGUUACUACUGAUUAUGUAUGCUGUAUUCAUGCAUGCUACAUUUCCCAUGUUAGCUGCAUGGUUUGGAGCCUGCAGUUGCAGACAAAGGUUUUGGGCUGUGUUCUUUCAACUUACUGGCCUAUGCAGUUUGUUACAGGAACAGCUACAGAUUCCAAGGCACACAAACAACGAGAAACAGUGAAGACGGAGACUCGUACCUGCUUGCUUGUCUGCCUAAUAUAUCUGUCUACCCUUUGUACUUAUAUAGUUUCCUUCAUGGUAGGGUCUCUGCACCUGUAUAA